UAAUACAGAGGGUGCGAGCGUUGUUCGGAAUUACUGGGCGUAAAGCGCGCGCAGGCGGCCUUUUAAGUCUGACGGUGAAAUGCCGGGGCUCAACCCCGUGCCCGCCGGAGAUACUGGGAGGCUGGAGACGAGUAGAGGCAAGCGGAAUUCCGGGUGUAGCGGUGGAAUGCGUAGAGAUCCGGAAGAACACCGGAGGCGAAGG
rnacentral:rRNA from 1 species